AUGGCCACUUCUACUUUGCUUCCAAUACCUCCUAGAGCCUUGUUGGUUUCUAAACAUUCCAGCAAUGCUUCAACGUCAACUAAAAAGGAUAAUUGAUUUUGAACUUUUAACAAACCUAUAAACCAAGUCUUAUUGUCAUUUCGUUUAGUCAUUGCUGCUGCUUCUACUAGUAAGAGAGGUUCCUCCAGUUCUGAUAAACGUUUGUCUUCUAAUGCUGUGGUCCUUUCGUCAAAUUCGUCUCCGAUAUGUCAAGUCUGGAAGCGUUAAUAGUGCGUUCCAAUGCCGAAGUUCUGUCAUUGAAUGCGCCUGAAGAUACAUCGUCUCCUGUGCAUAUGCCAAGUCAACAAUCGUUUCAACCUGAAGAUUCGUCGUCUCCUGUGGAUAUGCAAAUUCAACAGUCGAUUCAGUCUGGUAAU